AUUGAACGCUGGCGGCAGGCCUAACACAUGCAAGUCGAGCGGGGUUUUCGGACCUAGCGGCGGACGGGUGAGUAAUGCGUAGGAAGCUGCCCGAUAGAGGGGGAUACCAGUUGGAAACGACUGUUAAUACCGCAUAAUGUCUACGGACCAAAGUGUGGGACCUUCGGGCCACAUGCUAUCGGAUGCGCCUACGUGGGAUUAGCUAGUUGGUGAGGUAAUGGCUCACCAAGGCGACGAUCUCUAGCUGGUUUGAGAGGAUGAUCAGCCACACUGGAACUGAGACACGGUCCAGACUCCUACGGGAGGCAGCAGUGGAGAAUAUUGGACAAUGGGCGCAAGCCUGAUCCAGCCAUGCCGCGUGUGUGAAGAAGGCCUUCGGGUUGUAAAGCACUCUCAGCGAGGAGGAAGGGGUGUGUGUUAAUAGUACACACCUUUGACGUUACUCGCAGAAGAAGCACCGGCUAACUCUGUGCCAGCAGCCGCCGUAAUAC
rnacentral:rRNA from 1 species